CACGUAGGGGGCAAGCGUUGUCCGGAUUUAUUGGGCGUAAAGAGCUCGUAGGCGGCUUAGUAAGUCGGGUGUGGAACCUCCAGGCUCAACCUGGAGACGCCACCCGAUACUGCUGUGGCUAGAGUCCGGUAGGGGAGCGUGGAAUUCCUGGUGUAGCGGUGAAAUGCGCAGAUAUCAGGAGGAACACCAGGCGGCGAAGGCGGGCGCUCUGGGCCGGUACUGACGCUGAGGAGCGAAAGCGUGGGGAGCAAACAGG
rnacentral:rRNA from 1 species